rnacentral:lncRNA from 1 species
CCUUCGAAGUUCGGAGGCAGUGGAUGAGCGACGGAAGGGUUUUGGUGUGUUUUUAGGCGAAAUCGAUGGAGAACGUAGUUUUGCAUCGCGAUGAGCUUCCGGCUGUGUGGUCAUGUAACGACCCAGCCCACUAGCAAUAAUAACUCGUUGGGCCCAACCACCGGCCCAAAAUGCUUAAGCCCAGUUAUUAUUACUAGUGUCUAAGUCUCUUAUAAACCCAAUGACAACCCCAUUC